rnacentral:rRNA from 1 species
UACAGAGGGUGCGAGCGUUAAUCGGAAUUACUGGGCGUAAAGCGCACGUAGGCGGCUUGGUAUGUCGGGUGUGAAAUCCCCGGGCUCAACCUGGGAACUGCAUCCGAAACUGCCUUGCUCGAGUAUGGGAGAGGGAAGUGGAAUUUCCGGUGUAGCGGUGAAAUGCGUAGAUAUCGGAAGGAACAUCAGUGGCGAAGGCGGGUCUCUGGACAGUUCCUGACACUGAGGCACGAAGGCCAGGGGAGCAAACGGG